UGUAAAGACUAGUGGGAGUCCUCUCUCAUC
rnacentral:piRNA from 1 species